rnacentral:rRNA from 1 species
GCUUAUGACCAGACCUUUGCCUUGCGGAUCAUCCGGUGUUCUCACCGGUGCACUUCGCUUGGUUGAGGCCAGCAUCGAUUUUGGCAGAGGGAUAAAGGCGUUGGGAAUGUAUCUCCUCCGGGAGUGUUAUAGCCCUUCGUGUAAUACCUUUGCUGGGAUCGAGGACCGCGCUUCGGCUAGGAUGCUGGCAUAAUGGUCAUCAGC